CUGUCUUCGAAACAUGCUCUCCACUCCUCUUCAGGAAAGGAAUAGUUAAAGGUGAAGUAUGGAGGUGCUUGUCAUGCCGCUUCAUAAACAAACAGACACUGAUGUGGUUUCGAGUCGUGUUGAGCGAAUGCUGGAGUCUGUUUGGGCUGCCCCAGGAAGUAAGUGUGUGUUUUCCUCCUGUUGUCUUGGCCCAUGCAUAGCAGUGUUUUCUUUGUGAUGUCUUCCGUUAUGCACUUGCAUUUAUCUGUCUGCAUCAUGCAUUUGUGUAUGCUGAGUGUGCGUGCGUGUGUGGUUUAUGAUAUAGCAAACACAUAGGGCUCAAUAUCUGUGUGUGUGUGUGUGUGUGUGUGUGUGUCCCGGGCUGCUGCUCAGCUGUAUUCUAAUGUGGCUUUGCUCAUUGUUGCUGUAAAGAGCGUGUGGCACUGAGGCAUUCCUGUGCUGAGGCCUCGCACAAAACCCCUUCAGACUGCAGCCAGUCCUGCUGCUGUACGCUCACCAUCUGGAGCAGAUUGGGAGGAUUCAUAGAGACAUUCUGACACUUUCUUACCUUUCAGAAGGAAACGCUUAAAGUCGGU